AAAUGAAAGAAAUUAUUAGAAAGAACCAUUUCUCAGAAAUAAAACCCCUUCAGAUGGUCUGUCCCAGUGAUGUCAGCGAUGACGUCAUCAAUCUGAUAAAUACCCAGGAAGUGCUGGGCCAGCCCCUUUUACCUGCAUGGAACCACAUGGGAAACUGAACAAACAGAGUCAGGUUUUUUCGUGUAUUCUUCUACCUUUUUGACCCGUCCAGUGAAUUAGAUGGUGAGCCUUCACACCUGGAUCUAAAGACAGAGACGCCUUGUGGUCACUGGACAUGUUCUGCCGCACUCUUUGGUGUGGUAGGCCCAGUUUUUACAGACACCUUCACACAGCCCCACAUACAAUUCCAUUUUUCUCCCCAACCACUUAUACACACACUCACCCAUCAUCGCUGGAAGUUUGAAUAACCAAGACUUACUUUUUUCCUUUAACUUCCCAGAAAACUUAUGGACUGACACUUUUUGACUUUUCUUCAUCUAAGACUAUUCAAGGACGAUUCAAAAUACCAGCACCUCAUUCUGUGGAAGUGUAAAAUGGUGGCUAAUGUGAAUGGUGUUUGUAAUAAGAUUUUAUUUCUUUACUCUGAACUGAAAUGGAUUUGAAUAACUUGAAAAUUAGAUUUAGGUUUCAGAUAACAAGGGUGCACCCAAGAUAGAAAGGCCAAUUUGAUACUGAAAAACUGUUCUGUUUAUUUUUGUGUAUGGUACCAACUCACGUUUGUCAACAAUUGUUCUACUAAAGCUGGUAAAUGUUUACAUUUA